rfam:Halolamina pelagica strain CDK2 SY89_scf01, whole genome shotgun sequence.
AUUCCGGUUGAUCCUGCCGGAGGUCAUUGCUAUCGGGGUCCGAUUUAGCCAUGCUAGUUGUGCGGGUUUAGACCCGCGGCGUAUAGCUCAGUAACACGUGGCCAAACUACCCUACAGACAGGAACAACCUCGGGAAACUGAGGCUAACACCUGAUACGCGUUGACUGUUUGAACACGUCGACGCUCAAACGCUCCGGCGCUGUAGGAUGUGGCUGCGGCCGAUUAGGUAGACGGUGGGGUAACGGCCCACCGUGCCGAUAAUCGGUACGGGUUGUGAGAGCAAGAGCCCGGAGACGGAAUCUGAGACAAGAUUCCGGGCCCUACGGGGCGCAGCAGGCGCGAAACCUUUACACUGCACGCCAGUGCGAUAAGGGGACCCCGAGUGAAAGGGCAUAUCGCCCUUUCUUUUCUGAACCGUAGGGAGGUUCAGGAACAAGAGCUGGGCAAGACCGGUGCCAGCCGCCGCGGUAAUACCGGCAGCUCAAGUGAUGACCGAUUUUAUUGGGCCUAAAGCGUCCGUAGCUGGCCGAGCAAGUUCGUCGGGAAAUCCACCCGCUUAACGGGUGGGCGUCCGGCGAAAACUGUUCGGCUUGGGACAGGAAGGCUCGAGGGGUACGUUCGGGGUAGGAGUGAAAUCCCGUAAUCCUGAACGGACCACCGAUGGCGAAAGCACCUCGAGAGGACUGAUCCGACAGUGAGGGACGAAAGCUGGGGUCUCGAACCGGAUUAGAUACCCGGGUAGUCCCAGCCGUAAACGAUGUUCGCUAGGUGUGACACUCACUACGAGUGAGUGUUGUGCCGCAGGGAAGCCGCUAAGCGAACCGCCUGGGAAGUACGUCCGCAAGGAUGAAACUUAAAGGAAUUGGCGGGGGAGCACUACAACCGGAGGAGCCUGCGGUUUAAUUGGACUCAACGCCGGUAACCUUACCAGCCCCGACUACGGUGAUGACGGUCAGGUUGAUGACCUCACCACGAUGCCGUAGAGAGGUGGUGCAUGGCCGCCGUCAGCUCGUACCGUGAGGCGUCCUGUUAAGUCAGGCAACGAGCGAGACCCGCACUCUUAAUUGCCAGCAUGUCCCUUGAGGAUGAUGGGUACAUUAGGAGGACUGCCGCCGCCAAGGCGGAGGAAGGAACGGGCAACGGUAGGUCAGUAUGCCCCGAAUGGGCUGGGCAACACGCGGGCUACAAUGGCCGAGACAAUGGGUUCCAACCCCGAGAGGGAGCGGUAAUCUCAGAAACUCGGUCGUAGUUCGGAUUGCGGACUGCAACUCGUCCGCAUGAAGCUGGAUUCGGUAGUAAUCGCAUUCCAGGAGAGUGCGGUGAAUACGUCCCUGCUCCUUGCACACACCGCCCGUCAAAGCACCCGAGUGGGGUCCGGAUGAGGCCUGUUCAACAGGUCGAAUCUGGGCUCCGCAAGGGGGCUUAAGUCGUAACAAGGUAGCCGUAGGGGAAUCUGCGGCUGGAUCACCUCCA